AUUUGGGGUGGAGCCAUAGGUGUGGGGUGGGACCCAUAGAUCCACGUCUGCCCCAUAGAUUUGGGGCUGCCCCAUAGAUGUGGGGCGGAGCCAUAGGUGUGGGGUAGGACCCAUAGAUCCACGUCUGCCCCAUAGAUGUGGGGGUGGACCACAGAUCCGCAUCUGCCCCAUAUAUUUGGGGCUGCCCCAUAGAUGUGGGGCGGAGCCAUAGGUGUGGGGUGGGACCCACAGAUCCGCGUCUGCCCCACAGAUGUGGGGCUGCCCCAUAGAUGUGGGGCGGAGCCACAGGUGUGGGGUGGGACCCACAGAUCCGCGUCUGCCCCACAGAUUUGGGGCUGCCCCAUAGAUGUGGGGCGGAGCCAUAGGUGUGGGGUUGGACGACAGAUCCGUGUCUGCCCCCCAGAUGUGGGUCAGCCCCACAGGUUUGGGAUCAGUCCCACAGAUGGGGGUCCGCCCCAUAGAUCUGGGUCUGCCCCACAGAUGUGGGUCCGUAGAUUGGAGACGACCCCAUAGAUUUGGGAUCGGACCCACAGAAAACCCCAUCGCUUUGGCUCUGCCCCAUAAGUGGGGGUCAGCCCCAUAGAUCGGGCUCUGCCCCACACAUGGGGGUCCGCCCCUCCCCCCAUAUACAGAUUUAUAUAAAACCUCAACAAAUGUAUAAAAACAGCAAAAAAAAUACAAUAAAACAAGGGGGGGGGGGGUUCGGGGGGGGGGGGGGUCUGUUUUAUGCCCAAUCCGGUGAUUUUGGGGCCCAUCCCCUCUCCACGACGUCCAGCAUUCAGGGAGAGGGUCCCUCCCCUCCCCCCCCUCCAUUCAUUGCCGCUUUGUACCGUUGUCCAACCCUUUUUUCGACAAGUCAUUUUUGGGGGGAGGUAUUCCCCACUUCUCCUUUUUCUCUCAUUUUUUUCAAGGAGAAAACCCAAGUUUUUGAUGUCUCUCCCACAGAGCCCUUUUUCUGAUUUAUGGAGGGUCCACUUUCGUAGAGAUUCUCCCACUUUUAGAUUGUUAUCCCGCCAUUUAUUCACGGCUCCUUUUUGGGGUCAUUUUCCUCUCUUUUAGUUUUUCUCUCGUUUUUUUAAGAAGGAAACCAGCAUUUUUGAUGUCUCUCUCACAGAGUCCUUUCUCCGAUUUUGGUUGAUCCCACUUUUGGGGGAAUAUUCUCUAUUUUUAGUUUCUUUAUCCUCAUCUUUUGAAAGGUCUCUUUUUGGGUCAUUUUCCCCUCUUUUCAUUUUUUUUCUUUAUUCUUUUGAGGAAAAUCCCCUUUUUGGGGGGUUCACCCCUUAGAGGUGAUUUUCCGAUUUAUGGGGGUCCCACUUUCGUGGCAAUAUUCCCUUUUUUAACAUAUUUUUUACACGCUCUUUUACAGGCCAUUUUUGGGUCAAUUUCCUCACUUUUAGUUUUUCUUCCACAUUUUUAAGGAGAAAUCCCAUGGUUUGGGGGUUCCCCACUCCCAGUGCCUUCUCUGCUUUACGGCAAUCCCACUUUUGGGGGAGAUAAUCCCAUUUUUAGCCUUUUUUUCCCCAUUUCUUGACAGGUCACGUUUUGAGGCAUUUUCCCAUCUUUUCGCUUUUCUUUCAUUUUUUUUAAGGAAACAUUCCCUUUUUAGGGGGGAUUUGGGGAUUUUGGUAUUUUUUUGGGGUCAAUCGGGCUCUUUUUGGGGCCGCUCACCCACGGAUUUGUCGCGGGACACGCGCCACGUCAGCGCCCCUUCGUGCAGCAGCGUCCGCUUCGUGAUGUCCACGUUCUGGGGGAAAAAAUGGCAGAAUUGGGGUCCCAAGAGCCCCAGACCCACGGCUGCCCCAUAGCAAUGUCUCCAGCCCCAUAGCAAUGUUUCUAACCCCAUAGCGAUGUCCCAUAGCAAUGUCCCCAGAAACUAAGCAACGCCCCAUAGAAAUGUCCCCAGCCCCAUAGCAAUGUCCCAUAGCAAUGUCUCCAGCCCCAUAGCUCUGCGCCCCACCA
ensembl:lncRNA